rnacentral:sRNA from 1 species
UCUGGCUGCUGUGGCUUUAUUUUCACCUGAAGGCUUCUAGUUUGAAAAAAGGAAAGAAAAGAAAAGAAAAGUCUUUACUAAGGAAAAAGAAAAAUUUCAAGAAAAGUCUUAAGCCAGAAAAAUAGACCGUGAAACUCCCUGUUUUUAUAGAUGAUGGGAUUCUGCUCUGGCCUUUCUCCCUUCCCACUCACAGGCAAGAUUCCUCUAGGAUGAGCAGUAGAGGUGAGCUAUUCAUGAGGAAUGGAGUACCUACUCAGGGAUCGAGUCCUCCAGUGUUGUCCCAUGGGACCAGCCUCUGGCUCCUGAUCCUGUCCCAGUGCAAGCUCAACCUUCAGUGGGGUGUUUCAGAGGUUCCCUUUGCUUAGAACCUUGGUUGCUUUUGAGUUGGUGUGAGGAGAGGAAAGUGCUUGCUACUCCCUAGGAUGAGUCUCAACUGGCAGGAGGGCAGAACCUCACUGUCCCAGGGUGGGAAGGGGUUGACUAAAGCUCUCACACCUGCCCUCUCUGGAGUUCUCUAUCCUUUGAUUUAUGAGGACCAAGUGCAGAUUCUUAGUGGGAGUUGGUCCCAGCUUCGUGUAGGCCAAAUAAGAGCCAGUCUCUCCAGCCUUUAAGUACCAGGGGUGGGGGGGCAACCGGGAAAAAUAUAUACAAAAGGGACCCAGUGUUCUUGCCCCAGGAGGGCGGGUCUGCAUGGCAUGUAGCUGUAAUAUUACUAGCUGGUGCUGGGCCUGAGAAGACCUGAGCAUCCUGGAGCCCCAUCUUGCCUCCCUCUCUUCUUGUUCUCUGUGCAUGCUGACCAGCACUCUCUUCUUGAUGUCUUUGGAUAUAGACUGGUGCAUGGAUCCUGCACCAGCUCUCCUCGGCAUCAGAUGGAUAAGCGGAUGAGAUUUGAAGACAAACCCCUAAACUGCCUGCGUUCCAUGUGGGCACAACUGGCCUAGGAGUGCCCAGACAUAGUCAGCUCCCUCUUGGCUGUGGGGAAGGAGGGGCAGCUUGCUUCUUGCUCCAGGCUGCAGACCGUUUGGAUAAAAAGCAAUCACCGUUCAUAUUUGUUGUCUUGAGAAUGAGACCAGGAGCCUGGCCACAGGGGAGUGGGGUGGGGGGACAUGUGGCCUUUCUUCUCUGCCUCCUUCCCGGUGAAUCCCUCCCACUCCCCACUUCCCAGACACCAGACACUUGCUGCCUUCCACCUCCAGACACCAGAUGGCUCCCUCUCUUUGCUCUCCCCUCUAGACCAUUUGGGCCCCUCCCUGUGCCUGCAAGAGGUUCCAGAGUCCAGCCUCUGCCUGGUGGGGCCAGCCAUCCCCUCAACUCCCAGGGGCUACUUUUCAUUCGUCUAGCUCUUCCUCCUGCUGGGCUUCGGCAGGCUCUUACCCUUCGAGCACCUUUCCAUCCUUCACUCUGAGGAGCACUGGCCAAUCUUUGUGUCUGCCCCACCCCCCAAGAGGCAGUGUCCUGGGCAUGGCCCCCUCCCCCUUCCAGCCCCUGCCGCUAGAUGGCGUCCUCACUCUGCCUUCAACUCUGGCCUGCCGGGUUGGGGAAAUUCUGCAGUCUCCAGUUGGAAAGUCCUGGAAGCAGGACUAGGCUCUUUGGCUCCUCCUCUGUUCUCUGCCACCUGUCUUUCCUUCCCAACCCUUACUUCCCUUUCCACAGUUUCCACAGUUUGAGCUAGGGAUCCCAGCCCAGUCCGUGCCUCCUGGCCUCUUCUCUUUUCCUGUUUUCUCUCCCAGUUGACUUCUCUUUCUUUGACAGCUCUGUCACCAUCUCAUUCUGCCCAAUCACACAGUUACGUCUCAUUUUCCUCCUGAAUUUUUUUCAGUUUUGGCAAAUAGAGUUUUACCUGCUCCAGUUUGUUCUCUGGGGCGAAAGCUAGGGGAGAGGAAAAUUCUACAGUCAAGGAGAUACCUACAGUCUGGGAAAGCUGCUUUGGUGCUAAUGGUCAGAGAAUCACAUGCUAUAUCAUACUUUGUCUACGCCCUGUCCAUCCUUCAGUGGGUUCUGUGUAAGGUGUAAGCCAUGACUGUUUCAUUUUGGGUCCAAAUAGGCCUCAGCUCUCUGAGCCUUUAGAGUCUCCAAAUGGUUUCUGGUCCACUACAGAGCCACCAGGUACAUUUGUGACUUGGAAAGAGGAUGUAGGCAGGUGGCCUGCUGUAUGGCCUAGAGGACCAAGGGAUGGGUCUGGAUGUCAUAACCAGUUCUUCUGACCCCAGUUUGGGCAUUUCUUUACCACAGCUGCUGUGGUACUCCAAAAUGCCAUCACCUCUUUCCCUCCGGUCUUGUAGCUGCUGAAGCACAGAGGCCCCUGGGAAAGAGGGACCCUACCAUUCUCCUUUGAAGCCAAGCCAAGAGCAUGAAGCGGUGAAGCUUACGGUUCAUGCCUGCUGUGGUAUAGAGAAGAGGAGAAAAAGGGCUGGCAGGACGGAGCCAGGUGGGUACGGAGGGUAAGAAGACCCUUUCUCUAGGAGGCUUCAGGCGACCAGGAAACCAGGUGGACGGGUACGGACUGCUUCUUCCUCUGCGGCAGGAGGGUUUUGCAGAGGAUUCUGCUGGUUGAGAAGUGGUCACUCACUCCAGAAAGAACCGCUUCCAUCAGAUGCUGUGCAGCUCUGCUGAGUGUUGUGCCAGCCUCAAGAGUCAUGUCACGGUGGCCACCCGGAUCCUGGGACUGGGACUGGAGGCUGGACAACAGCAGGGCGCUGCAGAAGAUUGCUUUCUCCGAAGAGAGGACAUCUCUUCCCCUCUGUCUCUCACCCCACCCUUCAGUGACCAGGGGAUUUCACCUCUUUGGGGGCUGGGUUCUUCAUUUUUGACUGUCCUACACAGAGAGGGUCUCCAGGCCUGAAGUCACAUGUCACCUAGAACUCAGGUUAGCAAAGCUUCCUUGCUCAGUGUUGCACGUUGUCUUUCAGUUAGACUUGCACUGAAUUUCAGUUUACCAACACGAACAACCCCACUGAGGAAACGAGCACAGAGUUUGUAUAUUCUGUCCUAUCCCGCAGAGAAUCUAUGGCAGGAACAUCAGCAAUAGCAGUCCCCGAGCCCCAGAGCCUGUCAUACAUCUCCAGCUUAUGAUCUGUGGGGCCCAUGGCUGUAUCAGCAGAGGGGAAGCAAGGAAUGGAAGCAGAAAAGGAAGCAUGAACGUGCACUUGUAAAGAUAAGGCACAGAGGAAUGUGUGCAUCUUGGGGCUCAGGUAAAAAGUGGUCCAGAAUCAGAGAUGCUGAGGAGAAAACUAGGGGUGUCUGAGAGUGGUUCUCCUCAGCUGCUCUGUCCUGUCGCUUCUUGCAUUGGGCACACAGGGUCACUAUUCUCUCUCCGAGACUCCAUCCUUACCAUUGCCCUGGAGGGGCAUGUUUCCUCACAAAGAAAGGUGACCUCACCCACGGGCACCAAGCCAUGUGUGAUCCGUGUGCCCCUGAUGCUGACUUUAGCCCUGGCCCCUCAACCACCUCCCUUCUUGUCUGAUGUAAGAGUGUUUCCAAGAAGAAUACUGUGUGCCCGAUAGACACUGUGGGUUCAGGACUAGGCAUGUCCACGUUGAAUUUUUGUGAUGCUUUAACCAGGAACGGAGGGCUCUUGCUGCUGUCCUCAGAGGUUAGCUUGUUUUGAGGGCUCCAGCUUCUCUGUGGUGGCCUGGAUGGGCAUCGUGGUUACAAAGGAGAGAUUUGUAGAUGUUGCUUCUGGUUCCUUUUCAUGUUGCUGGGAUGAAGUGCUACGGCAAAACAACUUGAAGGAGUUGCUCUUGAUUCACAAUAGGGAAGUCCUCAGAGCAGAGUAGGUGGCAACGGGCCAAACCGCAUUUUCAGUCAGGAAGCAGAGAGAUGAGCGCUGUUGCCAGGUUCACUGGCUUCCAUUUAUGCAUUGCAGGGCUUAAGCCCAGGGAAUGGUCCCAUGUAUGGUGGGAAGAUCUUCUUAUCUCAACUAAUCUAGCAAACAAGUCAUCCACUAUAGACAUGCCCAGAGAGCCUUGGUCAGGGUUCCUCAGUGGUUGUCACAUCAGGACAGCGAGUGUCAAGUCCUAUGGUCUUUGGUUGGUACUUCUUAUGGCCAGGGUUCCAUGUAUCAUGUACCUGCUGCUAUGGAGAAUGGACAGGGAACCUGGUGAUGGUCCCUGUGGCUAAGGUGCUCCUCUCUCCAUUGUAACGUUAAAGCUUUGGCAGAGUUCAGUUUUCAGAUUAUUCUUAGAUUAUUGGUGUGUGAGAUUCAGGUGACAUGUAUCUUCAAGCAGGUGUUGUGACUGCUCAGGGCUGAGUCUAUGUCAGUUCCUCUUGAGGCAAGUUGCUUCUGUCUGUGAGUCUGGCAGCUGGUUCCUACAUGCUCAGUAUUGAGUGCUUGGGUAGCCUUACUACAUGCUUGUGUGCCUGUGUGCCUGGUCUAUAUGCUAUGUGCAGUGGGCAGCUUAAAACAAGAGUCUUAAAGAGUGGACACGAAAAGCAUGUGACUUGCUGGUGGGGUUUGUUUUGUUCGAAGGACUGAGCUGUGCCAUAGUUUUGUUUUGGUAUCUGAGAUGGCACUCAACUCAAAUGGCAGAAACCUUGGCCCCUACUUGACAGUCUGUAGAAUACCUUCUCACUGGGCCCCCAGCAUCUCUGGUGUCAGGGAAAGUGCGAAACCAUGUACAUCUCAUAGCUGCCAUUGAAGAAUUUCCAGAAAGAUUUCCAGUUAGAGAACCAGGAUCAGACCUGGAAGGAUUUCCUUUGGCUCCAGGUUGAUGUAAAAAUGAGUCCAGGAACCUCAUUCUAAGCUUUUGAUUAACUUCAAUGGGAAGAUUCUAGAUUCUACAUCCUUGACCUUUGCAGAUGGAGACCUGCUCAUGCUUGGGGAGCCCUCUGUCUUUGCCGUGGCUAUCUUGGGCAGGAGUCAUUCCUAGUGCAUUGUGUCUGCACUUUCGCCUGCUGCCCUGCAUGAGGCUUCCAGCCCUGCCACUGUCUGCUGCCAUUCCCUGUGGUGCCAGACAUUGAGCUUCUUGUACGUGGACUGCGUACCAGUGGCCUGUGUUGUUUCUUAUAGCCAAGUGCUCUCCUGGGAGCUGAACUCUGACAUCAAGACUGUGUCAGCACACCUCUGCACUUCUAGAAGGGUCUGUUGGUCUCAUUCAUCUAAGUUCCUAGCUAAGAUGAUGUUCAAUAAAUAUUGAUCACUGGAUGAAAGUUUCUUAUCAGUGCAGCA